ACAGUCACACAUUAGAUACCCGUGUAGUCCCAGCCGUAAACUAUGCUCGCUAGGUGUCAGGCAUGGCGCGACCGUGUCUGGUGCCGCAGGGAAGCCGUGAAGCGAGCCACCUGGGAAGUACGGCCGCAAGGCUGAAACUUAAAGGAAUUGGCGGGGGAGCACAACAACGGGUGGAGCCUGCGGUUUAAUUGGACUCAACGCCGGACAACUCACCGGGGACGACAGCAAUAUGUAGGCCAGGCUGAAGACCUUGCCUGAAUCGCUG
rnacentral:rRNA from 1 species